GAAAAGUUGGAAUACGCGCUAGCCGUACAAAGGCUGCUGACUAUUCUAAUUGAUUGACGGGCCGAAGGACGCUCGUGCGGUUGUCGUUUUAAUAGACUGCACCGUUGUACAGUUAUAAAUUACACAGUUAACAGUGACUCGAAGCAUCUUUGCCUCGCGCAACGGCUGGAACACAAGCGACCUGCUCGAAAUUAAGUCAUCCCGAUCGUAUUUGUAAAGAGGGAUUUUCAGGAUUUACUGCUUGAUCCCUCGCGACUCAAUAUUAAACGUAGUGAGAGGAUGGUUAUAAUGCAAGACAUAUGCAAGGAACAAGUCCCGGUUGGUAAUGAAGGAAACGUAGAAAUUUAUUUCCAAAGUCGUUAAUGUUCAUAGAUACCAUAAACUACUUCGCCACGUAACUUUACUAUUACUGAGACACUUGUCAUAAAGGGGCACUAGUUUUUGCAUUCCCGCUUUAUAGAAUAAUACCGCUUAAGAUUGCAGGGUUGCUCGUCGCUGUUUCAAAGGAAGAAAGAGGACAAAAUCCCGCUGGCAGUGCGGGAAGUAGUAUAGUGGCGAGCUAGUGACGUCGCGAUCAUGCUAUAGAUUGUAGAUCGUAGACAAACGAAGGUGGGGCGUCAAAGUUGUUGACGCAACGCGGAGGGACGUAAGACGAAAUUCAUGUCACGUGACACGAGCGACGUAGCUGUGGAGUGGCAGUGGGGGUAAUGUGACGUCAUGUAGUCCCCGAAUUAAGGGAAUCGCCUGGCAAAUUGGCACCCAGUGUAAACAUAAUCCCCGAAAUCCCAGACGGUUCUAGACACAAUUUCGUGGAGAAAUGACCGUAAAAUUGGCGGAAAAUGAAUAAGAAAAUGGCGAAAUUAUGUCACGCCAUUUGAAAUUUCGGAAGUUAUGCUCACCCUGAAUACCAACUUAGACAGCCUCGUUCUUUAAAGUGGGGAUAUAAAAAUUGUCGUGAAAAGUGUUUCUAUAAUAGUAAAGACUACGCAGUAAAGUAGUUUAAAGUGUAUAGAAUACAAGGAACGUCACAGAAGUUACUACUAACGGCUUUUUUUCUAUUUCAUAGAGAAAUAAUAAAAAAUGGCAAAAGAGUGUAAUUCACAAGAAUCAUUUCGAAUACAAGGUACAAAAAGCCAUCGAAGUUUCAUAAUGUAGCAUCGUGGUGGUUCGUCUUAAUUAAGAGAAAAUUACGAAGGUAACUUAAACGUGGAUUAAUAGCGAAACGAAACAAAGGAACAUGAAUUAUGUAAGACAAAAGUAGAUACAUAAUAGAACUUAAUAGAACUCUGCCACGUGAUAGAAAAAGGUAAAUUAAAUAAUCGUUUGAUGCCCGCCAUAUUGAGCAGCUUUCAGAAAAAAGGACACACAAGACAAAAUGGCGAACCGAGUAAAUUGCGUUAGAGAAUACAGUCUGCAUCUAUAUAUUUACCACAAACUUAUAGAAAUUUGUUUAGAAAGAUUCUCAUUUACGUAUUUUUUGAUUUUUUAAAUAUGAUUCAAUAUGUGGUUGGAAAUAGUAUGCUUUUUCAGAAUUUUAAUUUCCUGUUACUGAAAUAGAAGUGGAAUUUCAUAACCUAUGCAAUAUGUAAUUCUCUGAGCGCCUUCAGAAGGUAUCAUAUAUGUUUCUAUUACGUAUCAUGCAACUUUUUCAAAUGUAAUAAGGUAUCUUUCAUAAGGUAAAAUUCAGCAUAUUAAAAGACGCACUCUAUAUUCGUAUCCCUAGGAAAUUUCCUCAUAACGUACCAACAUAACGAACGGGACAAAAAAUCCAAUUGAAAUAUCGUUAUAUACAGUUUUAUAUAUCUCAGAAGAAAUAUAAAGGGCAAAAGUCACGAUUAGCACAGGGUUGAUCCUUGCCGCGAUUAAAGGGUCAGUCUUCCGUCGCGUGUGAUGUAAACUGGCGCAGCAGCAAUAUCGCGUCGAGCGGGAGGAAAAAAGGGACGCGGCCAUAUGCAUCUCCCACAGAGAAUGGGUAGCGCGCCGGUACUGCGGGCAGAAAAACAGAAUGGUGCAAUUUGAUGCAGCAGCAACCAACCGCUGGUAAUAAAAAGAUCGAUUUCGAACGCGUCGACCCUUGCCUGGAAAGCCAACACCGGCUGUGAAACGACUUUCCGAGGGAAAAGUCGAAACAUGUACUACGCGUUCAAGUGCCAUUCUUUAUAUUUCCUUCGUAAUGCUUUGUUGGAAUUGUUUAUUGAUCGUUUUCAGUUUUCAGUAUGUAUUAGAAUCUAGUUUAUUAAUGAAUUACAUGGCAUAAUUUUUUCUGAAA